rnacentral:rRNA from 1 species
UACGGAGGGUGCGAGCGUUAAUCGGAAUUACUGGGCGUAAAGGGUGCGUAGGUGGUUUAACUAGUUAGCUGUGAAAUCCCUGGGCUUAACCUAGGAAGGUCAGCUAAGACUGUUAGACUAGAGUAUAGGAGAGGGUAGUGGAAUUUCCGGUGUAGCGGUGAAAUGCGUAGAGAUCGGAAGGAACACCGGUGGCGAAGGCGGCUACCUGGCCUAAUACUGACACUGAGGCACGAAAGCUAGGGGAGCAAACAGG